GAUGAACGCUGGCGGCGUGCCUAAUACAUGCAAGUCGAGCGAACAGACGAGGAGCUUGCUCCUCUGACGUUAGCGGCGGACGGGUGAGUAACACGUGGAUAACCUACCUAUAAGACUUGGAUAACUUCGGGAAACCGGAGCUAAUACCGGAUAAUAUAUUUAACCGCAUGGUUCAAUAGUGAAAGACGGUUUUGCUGUCACUUAUAGAUGGAUCCGCGCCGCAUUAGCUAGUUGGUAAGGUAACGGCUUACCAAGGCAACGAUCCGUAGCCGACCUGAGAGGGUGAUCGGCCACACUGGAACUGAGACACGGUCCAGACUCCUACGGGAGGCAGCAGUAGGGAAUCUUCCGCAAUGGGCGAAAGCCUGACGGAGCAACGCCGCGUGAGUGAUGAAGGUCUUCGGAUCGUAAAACUCUGUUAUUAGGGAAGAACAAAUGUGUAAGUAACUAUGCACGUCUUGACGGUACCUAAUCAGAAAGCCACGGCUAACUACGUG
rnacentral:rRNA from 1 species